rnacentral:lncRNA from 1 species
GAAGAUAUAUCACUAAUGUCUGCUUGGUGCUUUGUCAGUAACAAUCCAAUAGUUGGCAGAAACCGAAAUAGUAAGUCAUUUUGGAAAAGUGUUGCAGAUAUGUAUGAGCAAAGUCGAGCAGAUAAUCCAGAAAUUGGAGGUCCAAGGACUUUGGAAUCAUUGAGGCAACGUUUCAAACGCCUCAACAAAAAUGUAACUUUGUGGGUCGCUG